CCUAUGGUGGUCCAGUGGCUAAGAUUCUGUGCUCACAAUGCAAGGGGCCCAGGUUCGAUCCCUGGUCAGAGAA
rnacentral:tRNA from 1 species